rnacentral:lncRNA from 1 species
UCCUUGCAAAGCUGCUAAUCCCCUGAUGGCUGAAGCUGGGGAGCUACUGGAAGGGCUCAAGGCUGCUGAACACCUCCACCUAUCUCACUUAUAGAUUGGAUUGGAACAGACUCUUUGUCCAUUUUUUGUGAUUUUUUAUAUCUAUCUGACAAACUUCAUGUGGUGAAAGCUAAUGUUGUAUGCCACUGGUUAUCUUCUUAUGGCAGAUAUCUCACCUCAUCCUUGUUGUACUCUGCAGAGGAUCCAUAGUUUUUCCUUUUUGUUCCUGAUGAUCUAACUUAAUACAAAGUUUAAAGUUUUCAAUUUGCU